rnacentral:rRNA from 1 species
UACGUAGGGGGCUAGCGUUGUCCGGAUUUAUUGGGCGUAAAGAGCGUGUAGGCGGCCAGGUAGGUCUGGUGUGAAAACUCGAGGCUUAACCUCGAGAUGUCAUCGGAAACCAUCUGGCUAGAGUCCGGAAGAGGAGAGUGGAAUUCCUGGUGUAGCGGUGAAAUGCGCAGAUAUCAGGAAGAACACCAAUGGCGAAAGCAGCUCUCUGGGACGGUACUGACGCUGAGACGCGAAGCGUGGGGAGCGAACAGG